AACAGGUCUCCAGACCAGGAGGAGAACUUCCCCUCUCUCUCUCUCUCUCUCCCUGCAAGAGCUGAGUUUUUGGUGCGAAAGAGAGGAGCGAAGUGCUGCUAACUCGAGCGGCUCCCUCGCCGCGCGCGCCACCGCCUCCGAUCCGAGCAGCCGCCUAGAGACAACUCGUGCAUUCUUAAUGUUCCUUCUGAGGUAGCAUGUCUGAACAACAGGAUCAUGUUAGCAAAAGCUCAUGCUCAAGUAUUAGCACCAGUACUCCGGGGAGUGAGGAGGAAGUGACCAUUGGUACCCUUACAACUGAAGCGCCGAACAGUGGAAAGAGUCUUGGAAGACGCCUGUCCCACUUAGAUUCUAUCCCGCACACUCCUCGAGUUAAUGGGAAAAUUCCAGAUGUUAGUAAUGCGACGAUAGAUCAUGAAACAUUGUUGGAAAGAUUAGGCACAUACGGCUUAGCUGAAUAUCAAAUAGAAGGAGACGGGAAUUGUCAGUUCCGAGCUCUGGCAGACCAGAUAUUCCGCAAUCCUGACUAUCACAAACAUGUGAGGAAGGCAGUAGUCAAACAGCUAAAGGAAUUCAAGAAGCACUAUGAAGGCUAUGUACCAAUGGAAUAUAAGGUUUAUUUGAAGAAAAUGAAAAGAUCUGGGGAAUGGGGAGAUCAUGUGACCUUACAGGCAGCUGCAGACAGGUUUGCUGCUAAAAUAUGUCUGUUGACGUCAUUUAGAGACACAUGCCUAGUCGAGAUAGUCCCCAGAGAUGCUACGCCCACAAGAGGUUAGAGUUGGGUCCUAGCUUUGGCUAAGUUUCUGGUGCGAAGUACACUACAAUUCAUUGUAUGCAAUUGAAGAUCUGCCGACACGCAAAACUAAAAAGAAGCACUGGCUGUUCUAGCCCAAUAGUCUUCGGUGUUUUCUUGGAUCUGCUCUUGUUCUUCUCUAUUUAGUCCAGCAGCAUCUGUAACCUUGCUUAGUUUUUGCCUUUUCCUAAUGCUGCAAGUUGUAAUAUGACCUGGAAACAGACUCGUGUAAGAUUAUGUACAGUGAAGUGCCUCAAUUUUACCAGUGCAGUUUUGGGCUGUUUGCCUGUUUCGGUGGCCA